GACGAACGCUGGCGGCGUGCCUAAUACAUGCAAGUUGAGCGCUGAAGGUUGGUACUUGUACCAACUGGAUGAGCAGCGAACGGGUGAGUAACGCGUGGGGAAUCUGCCUUUGGGCGGGGGACAACAUUUGGAAACGAAUGCUAAUACCGCAUAAAAACUUUAAACACAAGUUUUAAGUUUGAAAGAUGCAAUUGCAUCACUCAAAGAUGAUCCCGCGUUGUAUUAGCUAGUUGGUGAGGUAAAGGCUCACCAAGGCGAUGAUACAUAGCCGACCUGAGAGGGUGAUCGGCCACAUUGGGACUGAGACACGGCCCAAACUCCUACGGGAGGCAGCAGUAGGGAAUCUUCGGCAAUGGACGAAAGUCUGACCGAGCAACGCCGCGUGAGUGAAGAAGGUUUUCGGAUCGUAAAACUCUGUUGGUAGAGAAGAACGUUGGUGAGAGUGGAAAGCCCAUCAAGUGACGGUAACUACCCAGAAAGGGACGGCUAACUACGUG
rnacentral:rRNA from 1 species